rnacentral:rRNA from 1 species
AUUGAACGCUGGCGGCAUGCCUUACACAUGCAAGUCGAACGGCAGCGCGGGAGCAAUCCUGGCGGCGAGUGGCGAACGGGUGAGUAAUACAUCGGAACGUGCCCAAUCGUGGGGGAUAACGCAGCGAAAGCUGUGCUAAUACCGCAUACGAUCUACGGAUGAAAGCAGGGGAUCGCAAGACCUUGCGCGAAUGGAGCGGCCGAUGGCAGAUUAGGUAGUUGGUGAGGUAAAGGCUCACCAAGCCUUCGAUCUGUAGCUGGUCUGAGAGGACGACCAGCCACACUGGGACUGAGACACGGCCCAGACUCCUACGGGAGGCAGCAGUGGGGAAUUUUGGUCAAUGGGCGAAAGCCUGAUCCAGCCAUGCCGCGUGCAGGAUGAAGGCCUUCGGGUUGUAAACUGCUUUUGUACGGAACGAAACGGUCUUUUCUAAUAAAGAAGGCUAAUGACGGUACCGUAAGAAUAAGCACCGGCUAACUACGUG